rnacentral:rRNA from 1 species
UACGUAGGGUGCAAGCGUUGUUCGGAAUCAUUGGGCGUAAAGCGCGUGUAGGCGGUUUGCUAAGUCUGGUGUGAAAGCCCAAGGCUUAACCUUGGAAGUGCACUGGAUACUGGCAAGCUAGAGGACGAGAGAGGGAAGUGGAAUUCCUGGUGUAGGGGUGAAAUCCGUAGAUAUCAGGAGGAACAUCGGUGGCGAAGGCGACUUCCUGGCUCGUAACUGACGCUCAGACGCGAAAGCGUGGGUAGCAAACAGG